AUACGAAGGGGGCUAGCGUUGUUCGGAAUUACUGGGCGUAAAGGGCGCGUAGGCGGUGUGUCAAGUCAGGCGUGAAAGCCCCGGGCUCAACCUGGGAACCGCGCUUGAGACUGGCACGCUCGAGUUCGGGAGAGGAUGGUGGAAUUCCCAGUGUAGAGGUGAAAUUCGUAGAUAUUGGGAAGAACACCGAUGGCGAAGGCAGCCAUCUGGACCGACACUGACGCUGAGGCGCGAAAGCGUGGGGAGCAAACA
rnacentral:rRNA from 1 species